UACGUAGGGCGCAAGCGUUGUCCGGAAUUAUUGGGCGUAAAGAGCUCGUAGGCGGCUUGUCACGUCGGGUGUGAAAGCCCGGGGCUUAACCCCGGGUCUGCAUUCGAUACGGGCUGGCUGGAGUGUGGUAGGGGAGAUCGGAAUUCCUGGUGUAGCGGUGAAAUGCGCAGAUAUCAGGAGGAACACCGGUGGCGAAGGCGGGUCUCUGGGCCGUUACUGACGCUGAGGAGCGAAAGCGUGGGGAGCGAACAGG
rnacentral:rRNA from 1 species